rnacentral:tRNA from 1 species
AUUAGAGAAGCUGUUCUAGCAUUAACCUUUUAAGUUAAAGACUGGGAACCUAAAACUCCCCUCAAUGA